rnacentral:misc_RNA from 1 species
CCACCAAAACCUGGCACGUCCUUAAAUGACCAUAGCUGUAAAUAUGACGUACAACACAAACAAACCAAACCAAAGUAAUCACCGCAUCAUUGAGGGGUCUUUUCGAAGGAAGGACUAAAUUCCAAUACAUACACUGUCUCCACGUUCCAAGCUUCUGAAAAUUGCAGGUACGGGAUGAUGCACACAUGAAAGAUUUUGGAUCAAUGCUGGACAGAACCGAGUCACUGGGACGCUUAGGGAAUCGGUGGAAUAACACGACUGAACCUGGUCACUGGGACGCUUAGGGAAUCGGUGGAAUAACAUGACAGAACCUAGUCACUGGGACGCUUAGGGAAUCGAUGGAAUAUCACGACAGAACCUAGUCACUGGGACGCUUAGGGAAUCGCUGGAAUAAAACGACAGAACCUAGUCACUGGGACGCUUAGGGAAUCGUUGGAAUAACACGACAGACCCUAGUCACUGGGGCGCUUAGGGAAUCGCUGGAAUAAAACGACUGAAGCUAUGGCUCGUUCAGCACUUACCUGUCAUACGCAAAGCGUUAAGGACCAAACGCCACAAACGCUGCAAGCAAAUAAUGCUUGCAAAGACUCGUUGCUGACUGAAUGUACAGACGGUAUUCGUUCACAUUACCCGAAACAUAAAAAUACACCUGGAUGCACGACUGAGGUAAUCAGUGAUGCACCGAUAGUUCAUGUUGGGAAUUCUUCAAGAGAAGACACUUACAGUAAUCUUAUUACUGACCCAUGUGAAUCCCAAAGUAUGACAGGAAAAUCUUCAGCAAUGUCACCGAUUGCAAAUAAGUCAGAGUUUGGAUUUACACUGUCUGAAGACGUAAAGCUGUCCACGGAAUAUGCUUCAGAUGACACCAGUUUCCUUUCGCAAGAACAAAUGUUCAAAAACCAAUUGAUUGGGAGUCAAACUACUACAGAAGCAGUACCUACGUACACAGAUAAAGUCAAAGACACAGGAAAAUCUUCAGUGCAAAUAAUAUCACCAAAACAGAAAUUUGUGAAAGACUCCACAAUACAGAACACAAAAUCGAACUGUUACAUGGAAAACGAAGCCCGGUUUAAGUCCUUUUUUAACCUUCCUUUUGAGAAAUUUCGUACUGACAUUAAGCAUUUAUGUGAGAGUGGUUUCUAUCAUGAUGAUAAAACGACAAAAAUUGUCUGUAUCAUUUGUGGAUAUGAAGUGCAAGAAAACCAGACCUUAGAAGAGUUAAAUAAAGAUCAUAUUUGGAAAUCACCAAACUGUUCUGAGUUUGUAAAUACUUCCAAAAGGCAUGUGGAAUGUUGUGAGAAAAUCCACCGAGAAGAAACUGAUGGCAAAUUAACCAAUACUGAAUGUUCAGGGUCAGGUUUCACUCAUCAGCCAAAAGCAUCUACCGGGAGUGUACAUAAGGGCAAUAACAUUUACACUAAGAUGCCAGAUGCAGAACAUUCGCCUAUUUCCAAGUUCUCUGGCACAACAGCACAACGAGGACGUUUUCAAGGAACGCCACGUCCAAGCAAAAUAUCGGGAGUAGCACGGAAAGUUCAGAAGAGGAGUAAAACAGGCGUUGCACGCCCUCGAAACACAACGGCAUCGUGCAUCGGUGAUCAGCAGUCAAAAAAUGGCGCUUCACAAUCCCAGCAAAACCAACAAAUUGCAAAUGAUACUGCUGAAUCAAAACAAUUUCCAAACAGCUGUAAACGAUGUAUUGAGGACGAAUUUCAUCUACAGAAAAUUUGUGAUGUAAGGAAGAAACCAAAAUAUGCAGCUUUUGAAAAGGUGCAAAACCAGGGAAAACAUGUACCAUCAUCUGUAAACUGUGUUUCCCAGGAAGUUCUCGAUGCCAUUUUAGUGGAGCUGGGGCAACCAAAUGCAUGUCUCACAGACGACAGCAUGGAGGUCAUUCUUAUUCUGAUUGGCCGCUAUUUUCCGCAGUACUACAUACCGUAUGAUAUGAACAAAUUUUUCAUCGAAAAUGGGGUGCAAGCAUUGGACACCUCAUUAGAGUUCGCUCAGGUAAUAUUUGUGCCACCAAAACCAUCUGAAGCACCAUCUUUUACCAAAAGAAAUAAGGAGGAAGAGAUUGGUCACUUUUUAUUGUUGACCAACAUUGGUUGUAGGAAAAUUUUCCAGGUUUGUGAUAGCCUUGGAGAGCGCUCUACAAAACUUCGCGGCGACAGUAGUCACGAAAUCAUCAGAAAAUGUCUCGGGUUUGAGAAAGCGCCAAUCGUGGUAGUAGAGGAAAAGGCUGUCUCGGGACAAAUCGGGGAUAUCUAUUGUGGGUUGUUCGUUAUUGCGUGUUUGGUCGAUAUUUGCCUUGGAAAUGGUGAUAGGUUAGAAAGUUUUGUCUAUGACCAACAACUCAUGAGAGGCCAUCUUAUUAAAACAAUAAAGUGUCUAUUUCAAAACAGGCCAAUCGAAGAGUUCCCUGCCAUAAACAUCGAUGGCGACAAACGACAAAGUAAGUUUACUCUCAUCUGCUCGAAUAUGUUGCAAUAAGUAGGUGUUAGAAAGUCUUGGAAUAACGACUAACAUUUAAUUUGUCUUGCAUCGAAAUUUGUAAGCAAAGAUCAUUUGUUAAAAGAAAUACAUUUUCGUUUCAAGCUAUUUAGAACCUAGCGGAAUUUGACGAUCUUACACAAAGUAGACUUUUGGUUACGUUGUAUGGAUGCGUCGUGAAUGAACAGAAGAUGGUUAUACUGUUGCUUUGUAAAACGUGUUAAUGUUUUGUAGUAAUAGAUAAUGACACUGCUGAUUUGUGUAGUAAUGAUGUUGAUUUGUGAAACUUUAUUUGUGUUAUAAUAAAUGACUAUAGUGUUGUGAAUAAAGUCAUGAAUGUCAUCAAA